rnacentral:rRNA from 1 species
UACAGGAUUCCCUAGUAGCGGCGAGCGAAGCGGGAAGAGCUCAAAUUUAUAAUCUGGCACCUUCGGUGUCCGAGUUGUAAUCUCUAGAAGUGUUUUCCGCGUUGGACCGCGCAUAAGUCUGUUGGAAUACAGCGGCACAGUGGUGAGACCCCCGUAUGUGGUGCGGAUGCCCAGCGCUUUGUGAUACACUUUCGAAGAGUCGAGUUGUUUGGGAAUGCAGCUCAAAUUGGGUGGUAAAUUCCAUCUAAAGCUAAAUAUUGGCGAGAGACCGAUAGCGAACAAGUACCGUGAGGGAAAGAUGAAAAGCACUUUGGAAAGAGAGUUAACAGUACGUGAAAUUGUUGGAAGGGAAACGCUUGAAGUCAGACUUGCUUGCCGGGCAACCGGUUUGCAGGCCAGCAUCAGUUUUCCGGGGUGGAUAAUGGUAGAGAGAAGGUAGCAGUUUCGGCUGUGUUAUAGCUCUCUACUGGAUACACCUUGGGGGACUGAGGAACGCAGUGUGCCUUACGGCGGAGGUUUCGACCUCUUCACACUUAGGAUGCUGGUGGAAUGGCUUUAAACGACCCGUCUUGAAACAACGGGACC